rnacentral:rRNA from 1 species
UACGAAGGGGGCUAGCGUUGCUCGGAAUCACUGGGCGUAAAGCGCACGUAGGCGGGUCGCUAAGUCAGGGGUGAAAUCCUGGAGCUUAACUCCAGAACUGCCUUUGAUACUGGCGACCUUGAGUCCGGGAGAGGUGAGUGGAACUGCGAGUGUAGAGGUGAAAUUCGUAGAUAUUCGCAAGAACACCAGUGGCGAAGGCGGCUCACUGGCCCGGUACUGACGCUGAGGUGCGAAAGCGUGGGGAGCAAACAGG